rnacentral:rRNA from 1 species
AGCGGCGGACGGGUGAGUAAUGCCUAGGAAUCUGCCUGGUAGUGGGGGAUAACGUCCGGAAACGGGCGCUAAUACCGCAUACGUCCUGAGGGAGAAAGUGGGGGAUCUUCGGACCUCACGCUAUCAGAUGAGCCUAGGUCGGAUUAGCUAGUUGGUGGGGUAAAGGCCUACCAAGGCGACGAUCCGUAACUGGUCUGAGAGGAUGAUCAGUCACACUGGAACUGAGACACGGUCCAGACUCCUACGGGAGGCAGCAGUGGGGAAUAUUGGACAAUGGGCGAAAGCCUGAUCCAGCCAUGCCGCGUGUGUGAAGAAGGUCUUCGGAUUGUAAAGCACUUUAAGUUGGGAGGAAGGGCAGUAAGUUAAUACCUUGCUGUUUUGACGUUACCAACAGAAUAAGCACCGGCUAACUUCGUGCCAGCAGCCGCGGUAAUACGAAGGGUGCAAGCGUUAAUCGGAAUUACUGGGCGUAAAGCGCGCGUAGGUGGUUCAGCAAGUUGGAUGUGAAAUCCCCGGGCUCAACCUGGGAACUGCAUCCAAAACUACUGAGCUAGAGUACGGUAGAGGGUGGUGGAAUUUCCUGUGUAGCGGUGAAAUGCGUAGAUAUAGGAAGGAACACCAGUGGCGAAGGCGACCACCUGGACUGAUACU